rnacentral:tRNA from 2 species
GGGCUCGUAGCCUAGUUAGGACAAGGCGGCAGCCUCCUAAGCUGUAGAUCGGGGGUUCAAAUCCCCCCGGGCCCG